CUCCGAGUCUCUCGCCUGGAUCUAGGUUGCUGUCACAACUGAGCUGUAACAGCGAGCUGUAACACAUUUUUCCGCAACACUUCAAUCAAGCAUGUAGACUUGUCUGGAAACGUCCUGAGAGCUUCACUCGGCAUCCUGCACCUAGGGACCCAGCUGCCUGGAAGCGAUGUCACCGCGCAGCACUCAGUUCUCUGUGCUCGGACACAAGCAGCUGCUGUGGGAAACACUUCCACUGACACUUCAGUGUUGUGACAGCUGGCAUCACCCCAGUUUCACCCCGUGCCAGGGCCCUCCAUAACGACAGGACUCGCCCACGCUGGCAUUUCAACUUCAGCUCCACUCAUCAGUAAGGUAAGGGCCUGGAAAGAAAGGACAACCAGUACUUACUGUAGCUCUCAAAGCAGGUUUGCUUGGACCAUCUGGCCUUCCUGAGGCCUACAGAAUUUAUACCAUGUUCUG
rnacentral:lncRNA from 1 species